GUGCAUGCCGUAUUAAGGUGAAACCGCGAAUGGCUCAUUAAAUCAGUUAUGGUUUCUUAGAUGGUACCAUCUUACUUGGAUAACUGUGGUAAUUCUAGAGCUAAUACAUGCCGAAUAAGCUCCGACCCGCGCAACAACGCGGGCACGAGCGCUUUUAUUAGAACAAGACCAAUGCGGCAAAACUCCGGUAACACGGAUUUUCCGUUCAAACAUUGGUGACUCUGGAUAACUUGAAGCUGAUCGCACGGUCUCGCACCGGCGACGCAUCUUUCAAAUGUCUGCCUUAUCAACUGUCGAUGGUAGGUUACGUGCCUACCAUGGUUGUAACGGGUAACGGGGAAUCAGGGUUCGAUUCCGGAGAGGGAGCCUGAGAAACGGCUACCACAUCCAAGGAAGGCAGCAGGCACGCAAAUUACCCACUCCCGGCACGGGGAGGUAGUGACGAAAAAUAACAAUACGGGACUCUUCCGAGGCCCCGUAAUUGGAAUGAGUACACUUUAAAUCCUUUAACAAGGAUCUAUUGGAGGGCAAGUCUGGUGCCAGCAGCCGCGGUAAUUCCAGCUCCAAUAGCGUAUAUUAAAGUUGUUGCGGUUAAAAAGCUCGUAGUUGGAUCUCGGUCCCGGACCGGCGGUCCGCGACUCGUUCGCGGUCACACUGCCGGCUUUUUCCGGGGCCAGUACGGCCGGCCGUCCCUUGGUGCUCUUCAUCGAGUGUCUCGGGUGACCGGAACGUUUACUUUGAACAAAUUAGAGUGCUUAAAGCAGGCAAGCUAACCAGCCUGAAUAGCUCAGCAUGGAAUAAUGGAAUAGGACCUCGGUUCUAUUUUGUUGGUUUUUGAGAACCCGAGGUAAUGAUUAAUAGGGACAGACGGGGGCAUUCGUAUUGCGGCGCUAGAGGUGAAAUUCUUGGACCGUCGCAAGACGAACUACUGCGAAAGCAUUUGCCAAGAAUGUUUUCAUUAAUCAAGAACGAAAGUUAGAGGUUCGAAGGCGAUCAGAUACCGCCCUAGUUCUAACCAUAAACGAUGCCGACCAGCAAUCCGCCGGAGUUCCUCCGAUGACUCGGCGGGCAGCUUCCGGGAAACCAAAGUGUUUGGGUUCCGGGGGAAGUAUGGUUGCAAAGCUGAAACUUAAAGGAAUUGACGGAAGGGCACCACCAGGAGUGGAGCCUGCGGCUUAAUUUGACUCAACACGGGAAAACUCACCCGGCCCGGACACUGGAAGGAUUGACAGAUUGAGAGCUCUUUCUUGAUUCAGUGGGUGGUGGUGCAUGGCCGUUCUUAGUUGGUGGAUCGAUUUGUCUGGUUAAUUCCGAUAACGAACGAGACUCUAGCCUGCUAAAUAGACGACCGAUCCCGGGGUGUCGGCGCUCUCCUUUUUUCCCUCGUUUUGUCGGGUCUUUCUGGCGGAUUGCCGCGCGGUUGGUCGGGUCUCUCCGUCCGCAGCCGGGUUUUGGCGUCUUUCGGGUUUUGGCGUCCGGGCGCCGUCUGUGUCGGAUUCGUUCGUCACGGCGGUCCACUCGGCGUCGAUUUUCCGUCGGCGUCACAUUCUCGCUCGGUGGGGUUUCUUGUCCGCCGUCGGCUCUCCCAACCGGUCUCCCGUCGGCGUGGGUCAGGGUUUGCGUUUCGACUUAGCCUCCGUCGGUCGAUUGCUUCUUAGAGGGACAAUCGGCGCUCAGCCGUGCGAGAUUGAGCAAUAACAGGUCUGUGAUGCCCUUAGAUGUCCGGGGCCGCACGCGCGCUACACUGAAGGGAUCAACAUGUGUUUUCCCCCAGUCCGGAAGGACCGGGUAACCCGUUGAACCCCCUUCGUGAUAGGGAUCGGGGCUUGGAAUUGUCCCCCGCGAACGAGGAAUUCCCAGUAAGCGCGAGUCAUAAGCUCGCGUUGAUUACGUCCCUGCCCUUUGUACACACCGCCCGUCGCUACUACCGAUUGAAUGAUUUAGUGAGGUCUUCGGACUGGCGUUCACCCGCGAUCCCUUCGGGGUUUUCGCGGCGGUUCUGCUGGGAAGAUGACCGAAC
rnacentral:rRNA from 1 species